rnacentral:rRNA from 1 species
UACCCCCGUAGUCCUAGCCGUAAACGAUACUCGCUAGGUGUCGGCCACGGUGCGACCGUUUGUCGGUGCCGUAGGGAAGCCGUGAAGCGAGCCACCUGGGAAGUACGGCCGCAAGGCUGAAACUUAAAGGAAUUGGCGGGGGAGCACAACAACGGGUGGAGCUUGCGGUUUAAUUGGAUUCAACGCCGGAAAUCUUACCGGGACCGACAGCAACAUGAAGGCCAAGCUGAAGACUUUGCCGGAUUAGCUG